UGGCAACAGUGAUGACGACUCUUGACUCUGCAAUGCGUGUUGCUGCAACUUGGAGACACCAGUCCCUCUAAACUGAUGUUGCCA